GAUGGAUUCAAUACAAUCCAUUAAAAAAUAUUGUUUAGUGGAUGGAUUUAAUGAAUUUUGUA
rnacentral:pre_miRNA from 1 species